UGGUGAAGUAGGUUUUCAAUUAUCACAGA
rnacentral:piRNA from 1 species